GUUAUUAAACACAGGCUUUGAUGAUGACACAUUUCCCAUGUUCAUAACUUGUGAUUGGUGAAGAAACAGCUGAGGCCUAGAUAAGUUAUGUGCCCAAUGCCACACAGCUAGAAAGCUACAAAGCUGAAGUUUGAACCCAACUCAUCUUGGUCCAGAGUCUGUGCACAGAAGUCCUCAUACAUCCAGCACUCAGCCUGCUCUUGAGCAAAAGGUACAUGUCCAACUUAAGAAAGCGUUUACUACUAGAGAUCGCUGAAAAAAUCAUAAGUCAUUUCAAUCAGGUUGAAUGCACUGCCCCAGAGAUGUUCAAGAAGAGGUUCAAGGACUUCUUAGGACGGAGUUUUAUGAGAGGCACCAACAUUGAAGACAUCAAAUCCAAUUGUAAAGUCCUUCCAAAUGGAAGAUUGUAAAAGCAUCUAAAGGUCUAUUCUGGAUGGGAAGAUAACAUGGGCAAAGGUAAUGACUAUCUGGGAGGAGCAGACCAGUAUGGCUGUAAUGAGAAAUUCAUGGAGAAGAGUGGUUUCCAGUAAUGCUGCAAAAAUCGGCUAGAAUCAGAUUGCGAGAGACCCUGAAUGUCAGCAAAAUCGGGUUUUGGUCUUAAUCCUCUUAAUCCUUUAACUGAUGGGAAGACUUAAAGAGUUCCUCCUCUGGAAAGUGAUAAAGUUUUGCCUUUUUUUUUUUUUUCUAGUUUGGAGUUUUUUGUUUUGUUUUGUUUUUGAUACAAAGGGUAUGAAGUAAAUUAAUCAGAUGACAUUCUUGAUCUACUGCGAAUGACUCAGUCAAGCCUCUUUUGCAUCUUCUCUUCCUCCCACUGUCCACAAGGUGGCACCAGAACUCAAAAUCAGAACUCCCUGGAAGGUUGUCUAACUGUUCCAAGCCUUUCCUGUAGGAUGACUCCUAUAAAGAUACUUUUGAGGUGAACAUGUCAAAAUAUAUUUUUAUUAACAAUUUUUAAUCGGCCUCUUCAUUCACUCUGGUGUAUUUUUCCAGGAGUUAACAAUUUUCGUCUUAACUGACUGCAACGUUCUGAAGAACUUCUGGGGACUGUGCCAGUUUAGAGACUAUUGUAGACCAAAAUCAUAAACAACACAUCCUACAGAAAAUGCUAAUGAUCAACUGGACGUUGAUACAGUGGAAUUUGUUCGACCCUCGAUGACUUCCAGAAGGGGGGAGCUGUUCUAGUUCACAAGAUGGAGAGGUUUGUCAGGUGGCCGGUUAAAUAAGCUUCUUGACACUUAACUCUAGGUAGGAUGUGGAAGAAGAUGAAAGUCUGAGCCAACUUACUACCUAAUUCUUCAGGAAAGAAAUAGUGUAGCAGUUGGAGGUGUGUGUCCAAGAGGCGACGUGGCACAUGCCCUCCAGCCAGUUUUGUUGGACCCCAGUGGAAAGCUUUCUGAAUGCCAGUUCCUACCCAGAUUUCCCAGCUCACCAGUCCCAGCCAGCUGGCCAUGGACCAGAUUUGGCCUGAAGCAAUCCAACUUCUCUGCCAUCCAGUAGGUCCAGCCACAAUGAAUUUAGACUCCAAUGAAGUCUGAAUCUUAGUGCUGGAGAGGAACCCCCUUCUCCAAGUGUAUUUCUUCAUUUGGGACUUUCAGAGAAUUCAAGGGAAUUCCCUGAAUUCUCUUUUAUACCCUCUGAGUGGCUACUCACCUGCUACCAGUUAGUAUUUCUUUCUAUUAAAUAUUCCCUGAUCAAUUACUGGUGUUGAUUCUGUUUCCUUUUUGGACCCUGUCUCGUACAGUAAAUCAAUGAGUAAGAAGUCUGAAUACAUAGGACAUUUACUCAGUCUUAAUUCAAGAAUAUUCUGCCUUACUAGGCUAAAAAAAAUGUUAACAAGCAGAGCUUUUUAAAGACCUAAUGUAAUCAUCAGACUCCAGGGAAUAGAUUUUUACUGCUGGAUGGAGCCCAAGAGGCCACCAGCCUUUCCAGUUGAACCAUCCUGGUCACCCAGAGGUGAAGUGGCUUUGUUUAUGGAGUGGCUGUGUGGGACAUGCUGGGAGGCAGCUUCUCCUUGAGAUUCCCCUGGCUGCUGCUGAGGACCCUCUCCAGGAGCUGCACCAGAUGAUGCACUGACGUUUUUAUGAGGACCCAUGGGAGGGAGAAAGUUCUCUCAAGCCUAAGAACUGGGAAUAGUCAUGCUUCUUCUGAAUGACUCUUGGGAUUUAGCUCAUGGACACUCUUGAAACAUGUAACUGCGUGGUUCCUAUUUAGAACAGUGGCCAGAAAGGUCAGGAACAAAACGGUGGCUCUCUCCUGGUAAGCAGGCAGUGCCCCACGGCAAUGACGCUUUACAUUCCUGCUCCCCUGGCUUAACCUCAGCUGUUUUACACCCUGCUUUUUCCCUUGCCUUGAUUGCCUCAUGUAUUUAUUACUGUUAUCCUAUUACAUACAUCAGACACUUUAAAACAUCCAUUUAAGAGUUAGCUAUAAACAAAAUAUCAAAGUAUAAAUCUAUUCUCCUCAAGCUAACAUCAUUGUUCUUUUCAUUACUGUUUCCUUACAGCAACAAAGAAUUCAAAUACUUGUAUCUUCCUGAGAAUAGGUGCACCUCGGAGAUCCAAGAGCAAUUUGUUCAGAUAUUUCAAAAUUUCCUUUACCACUUGCUUACCUAAUUAAUAUGUGUAAUAAAUGUCCAAUUUCAUAUCCAAAUCACAAAAAUUGUUAGCCUGGGCUUUAUCAACUUUUUAGUAUUUUUUCAAUGCAAAGGUAUCCAAAUUGAUCAGUUUGACUAUUACAAGGCUGGCCACAGGCUCAGAAAGAAUAAACUUUUAUUUUUUCUUAUUUCUUUAUCAAAUUAUAGUGUCAAAAUGUGGUUUCUUUCAAAGACAGUCAUUUAGCAAUACUCCACAAAUUGUGGGGAAAAAAAAAAUUUGUGUCCUCUCUCUUAUUUUUGUGCUCUUAUUGUGUUUUCUUUGCUGAAUAAGCAGCUUUCUUUCUCGUGUCUCUAGGAUGGUGAGAGAUGACUAUUCAAAACCUUAUUUACACCUAGACUCCCUCAUGUUUCUGUGCUUCCGUGGCCAGACUUCCACAGCUAUCAUUUAUCAUGGGCAGUGACUCAUACCUUGUAGGGGCAAAAUAAAUAUUUGCUGAAUAAAUCCUCAGAGCUGCUACCAAAAAUGGGAAACCUUGGAAACAAAAAAGCAAUCAUAGAAAAUAAAGUAACUGCAGCUGUGGAAACAGAAAAGCUAUAUGAUAUUCUUGCUUUUCUCUUCAUAAUUCCUCCAAAGAGAGGCAGAUUUUGUUUUCUGUACUGAAGCUGAAAAGCAACGUAGCUUUGUCUUAGUCUGAUUUCAAAGAAUUCCAAACAACGUUUUUCUUGUUUUCCUUUACUUCAGAGAAAACGUGACACUUUGCCGUUGGUAGAUAUUCAUUCUUUUUGUUAAGUAUCUAUGUGAGAGCUUGUCAAUGUUUUUAUGCAGAUAGCCCUGGUAACCUUGGAUCAUCCUCCAGAAAGCCUUUGGUGAAGAAAAGUCAGGCAAAUUGACCUACAGACCAGUCUAAUGGGAGCAAUUCGGAGAAAUGGGCCAUGGGAACAAAUGACAGGAACAGAUAAAAAAAGAAGUGUAAAUGAACCAAAAAGGAGUCAGUGCUUCUGCUCUCCUAUUGCUAUAACCAGCACAUUACUAGACGUAGCCUUCUCUUGGUCUCUUAUUUAACCCUGAGUAUGGUUCAUAGAUAAAUGGGCCAGUGUCCUUUUAACCAUCAGAUUUUCCAUUUAUUUCAGAAAAUAUAAGAUCAAUUUUCCAUGUGAUUUAAUUGGGUUACUGGGUUAGUGCCCUUCAUGCCUUCAAACAUAUUCUUGUACCUAUUUGUAUUACCCAAGUCUUUGAUCUUCCAUAAUGAAGCCUGUGUUUCUCUUAGGGCCCUUCUGGGAUGACUAGCUCAACCGAAUCAAGGAGGAAUGAACCCUUAUUUCUGAACACCCUAAGUUCCUCAUGCAAGUGAGCUAACAGAAAUCAAAACAGACAAAUGAAUUGCAAAAGACACAUUUUAAAUACCGUAUCCUAUCAGUUGAUAUUUUAAUAAAACGGGUGACUAGAUUUUCAGACUUAGACUGGUCUUACAAGUAAUUUGUUUUUGAAAUUACUAAUGGGAAAAUACGUUGACAUUUUCCAACUUUAUCAAUCCCGUGAAAAGUUUUGAUGAUCACUUUUAAGACAUUUUAACAAAAAUAACCUUUUCCUGUAGUAUGUAAGCCUUUGGUUAAGGAAAGCAUGCAUGUUGUAAGUGUAAGUUCUCCUGGCAUUGCGGUGUAAGUAUGACCAGGAAGAUAAAAGGCAGUGGUGUAGCAAAACAGAGCUAUUCAGAUAUGUGUACAGACAGGAUCCCCGGGAGCCAAGGGAUGCUGUGUUGUGAUAUGCUGCAGUUACAUCUGCUCUUGUCCUGUGUGGUCAGCUCACUUCUGAUAAGAUGUGGGAUCUCUGAGGAAUUAAGUCAGGACCUCAAUCUAACCACUAGAGAGCCUGUCGUUGGCAUUAGCAGUGACAUUGGCCCUGCAGUAUGCAAUAGCUGAGCUUCCCCUUGACAAUCACAAAAGUUCCUCAAAGGCUGUCUGCAGGAUAAUGUGAGCAAGUAAAGAGGAAGAGAAGCAUGGCAUGCACAGUACUUAGUAAUGGAAAUAUGACAAUUCCUGUUGCUAUUUUUGACUGGUGCAAAAUUACAGUGGGGAUAAGGCAGUCUAGAAAAGGCUAUGGCUUCAGUGUGCUUAGUUUGGGGGUGAAAGUAGAGAUAAGGGUUGGUACAGUUAAAAAUAAAUGAUUCUGUUGCCAUGGUUUCCUUCUUUAUAAAUUCUUUUCAACAUGAAUUGCUGUUGUUGUGUUUAAUUUUAGAUUCAUGCAGAUUUUCAACAAAUAAGAAUUCCUAUACGUCUGAGAAAUGGUUUUUUAAAGCUGUAGGAAAAGGUUUUUGGCAGUCUGGUUUAAAUAUUUCUAAGCAAAACUAACAUGCAGGGUUCUGGCAUUUAGACAACUACCAAAGGAAAGCGAAUAAAGAGAAUGGGAACUUAAGGAACAUAUAAGGCUACAUUUAUUGUUCUGAUUAAAACAUAAAUUCAUAUUAUUGUAACAUUUAAGGGCAUGCUGAGUAUUAAAUAUGGCCUCAGAACCAUAGGAAUACAGGUGUUCCUCCUAUGGAGUAAGUCUCUUGACAAUGUACCCAUAAAAGAUUUCAGGUAUCAAACAUUAAUUUAGAUAAUUAUGUGUUUAUUAAUAUCAAAGGCUCUAAUUGUGUUUUCAAAACCUGUCAUAUUACCUCAAAUACAAUUCCAUUUUCUUGACUAGGGAACCAGAAUUACUUAUAAUUUAUAUCCACUCUAAAACACCUAUGUUUCAUUUUUUUAAAAAUUAAUAAUGGAUAUUUCAAAUUUGGAAAACAUAAAUGAGAAGGAAGAGUUGACUUUACCAAAUAAAUUAUUUUUCCUUAUGCAUUCCUUAUAGUAUCAUUUAAAUAAUGAACUCCCCUACCACAAUUAAAAUAGGUCUAGAUUUUUAAAAAGCAAGAAAAUCAAAUUACCUGUACAGAAAUGCGUUAUAAUGCAGUUACAAUGUAAACAGCAAUAAUACAGUCGCAGUAGUAAAGGAUGAAAUUCAUUACAACUGAAAGGAAAUGAGUGAACUAUAUUUGUCUUUAUAAAUUUAUUUUCUAAUUUCAUUACUCUGAUUUAUUAUAGUACUUAUUUU
rnacentral:lncRNA from 1 species